UUUUGUCUACUUUCUUCCUGCAAAAUUUCAUAAUUUUUCGAGUUCUUUUGCUAUUAAACUGGACUGUUUUCCGUAAUUGUGUCAGUUUUAGUCCGAGUUAAUAGUUAUUGCUGUUUGUGUGCGAUUUUGUUCCAAGUUGUGCUGCGGUUUUUGCUUUGUUUUGUGCGCAUAUUGUGUGUAUAGAUCAUGGCAGACGAGGCUAUAUUCAAUACAUGAAUAGACUACACAUUAUAUUCAAUCAUUCAUGUUUUCUUAAUAGAAACCAGUAUUUUAAUUGAUUAAGCAAAUAAAUUUGCACCCACCUCUGUGAUUGUGUCAUCAUAAUCCUAAUUGAAAUAAACUAUAUACAUGGACUGUCAAAGGAGAUAAUUUGAAUUCUCCUUAGCAAAUUUAGAAUGUGUUACUAUCUCUGUUUUAUAAUGCUUGUAGAAUUAGCUUAAUUUUAUUUCCUUUAAUUUAUCAAAUCAAUGGAGCAUUUUAAUGAUUUUUUUUCUUUAAUUUAAUUGCUAAACUUUUGUUUCUGUCCUCAUCUGAAUUCUGAGUUCAAAUUGGUUUGAAUGAAAACUCUAAGUUGAGGGUAAAGACUGAUAAAAUUAACAGUAACCGUGAAGAAUUUUCUAAGGUAUGCAGAUUAUCAAUUUUUAUAUGGUGCCAAUGCUGCAACUUAUGAUAUUAUUUGAAAAGGACAUAAUCUUUCUUUAGGAACUUGCUCCUGUUCAAGAUCUACUGAACUGCCGAACUUGCUGAUGAAAAAUAAUUGUAUAUAGGGAGCAUACUGAUCUCCACUCAUCUGUUGUUUCAUCUGUCUACAUACUUAUCUAAACAUGGUUUAAAUUCUAUAUAUCUAAGAGUUGAUGGCGUACUUAUGAGACUUCGGACACUCUUGGGCAUUUUUUUUUUGGAGAAAACUCAUACCAUGUGGUCCUUCGAGAAAGCUUCGUGCCGGAGAGAGUGUUCAUUAUGUGCCUUGGCUGCAAUAAGUAUUUGUAUUACCCCUUAGCUGUCUAUUUACUGCUUUAAAUGAAUUUCGGCAACUAUUUUGCUCUCAUACAAAUAACUUUCUCUUUUAAUUAAUCUUGUAGAAAGGUAUCCAUUAAUGUUGCUUCAUAUAAUGAUCCAAGAAUAUGGUCUAACAAGGCUUUAGAUGUAUGCAAUAUGUUAUAUUAGCUUAAACAUUUAUAUUUGAUAA